CUCAAGUGAUCAUCUCACCUUAGCCUCCUGAGCAACUGGAAUUACAGGUGUUUGGCAAGACCAGGAUGCUCAAUGGCAAGAUAUUGGAUGGAGAAAUGGAUUCAGACGGAGGCAUCAUUGAGCUUAUUCUUCUUGACUCAUCUCAGUCCAAACAUUAUUCUCUCAAGUGUUGUUGUUAAAAUCUGCAUAUUAAAAGCUCAGCAUCAUCUA